GACGAACGCUGGCGGCGUGCUUAACACAUGCAGGUCGAACGGAAAGGCCCUGCUUUUGUGGGGUUCUCGAGUGGCGAACGGGUGAGUAACACGUGAGUAACCUGCCCUUGACUUUCGGAUAACUUCACGAAACUGGGGCUAAUACCGGAUAGGAUCUCCUGCUGCAUGGUGGGGGUUGGAAAGUUUCGGCGGUUGGGGAUGGACUCGCGGCUUAUCAGCUUGUUGGUGGGGUAGUGGCAUACCAAGGCUUUGACGGGUACCCGGCCUGGGAGGGUGACCGGCGACAAUGGGACUGAGAGAGGGAGCAGUCUCCUACGGGAGGCAGCGGUGGGGAGUAUUACACAAUGGGCGGAAGCCUGAUGCGGCAACGCCGGGUGCGGAAAGACGGCCUUCGGGGUAUAAACCGCUUUCGACUGUGACGAAGCGUGAGUGACGGUAAUGGAUAAAGAAGCACCGGCUAACUACGUG
rnacentral:rRNA from 1 species